GGUAAACAUGUCUUUUCAUCAUAGAAUGUCUGCUCUCUUUUAGUAGUCCGGUCAAUAAACUGAUCAAGCAUUAUUACAUCUCCAGGCUGAAUCUCUUCUCUCAAAGAUCCACAAGCCGUAGUCACCAAUAUGUGAGUACAGCCUUCCAUUUUUAGAGCCCAAAUGUUGGCACGGUAGUUAACAUUUGUUGGAGCAAUUGUAUGCUACCUUCCAUGUCUUGCAAGUAGCAUGCAAUCAACAUUUUUUAUUUUUCCCAGAACCCAGGCAUCUGAAGGCUUGCCAAAGGGUGUAUCUACAUAUUUUUCUAUUCUUCCUUCCAGUAUACCAGGGUCAUCCAGUCCAGAUCCACUGAUUAUUCCAACCUUUACACUAUG